rnacentral:rRNA from 1 species
UACAGAGGGGGCAAGCGUUGUUCGGAAUUACUGGGCGUAAAGGGCUCGUAGGUGGCCAACUAAGUCAGACGUGAAAUCCCCAGGCUUAACCUGGGAACUGCGUCUGAUACUGGAUGGCUUGAAUCCGGGAGAGGGAUGCAGAAUUCCAGGUGUAGCGGUGAAAUGCGUAGAUAUCUGGAGGAAUACCGGUGGCGAAGGCGGCAUCCUGGACCGGCAUUGACGCUGAGGAGCGAAAGCCAGGGGAGCAAACGGG